rnacentral:rRNA from 1 species
CCCUUAGAUGUUCUGGGCCGCACGCGCGCUACACUGACGAAUGCAACGAGCUUAUAACCUUGGCCGAAAGGUCUGGGUAAUCUCCAAAUUUCGUCGUGAUGGGGAUAGAUUAUUGCAAUUAUUAAUCUUCAACGAGGAAUGCCUAGUAAGCGCAAGUCAUCAGCUUGCGUUGAUUACGUCCCUGCCCUUUGUACACACCGCCCGUCGCUCCUACCGAUUGAAUGGUCCGGUGAAGCGUUCGGACCGUGGCCUUUGGACGGUUCGCCGUCUGUUGGCUGCGGGAAGUUCGCUAAACCUUAUCAUUUAGAGGAAGGAGAAGUCGUANCA